GGUCAGAGGUCAGUGCUAUGGGAUACAGAGGUCAGCGCUAUAGGGAUACAGAGGUCAGAGGUCAGUGCUAUGGGAUACAGAGGUCAGCGCUAUAGGGAUACAGAGGUCAGCGCUAUGGGGACACAGAGGUCAGAGGUUUACACUACGGUGAGUGGUCAAGAGGGUCAUAUCAUGCUUUUUCUUGCAUUAAUGUUCAUUUAUUAUUAUUAUUUUUUCAAUUUUAGAAUGCAUGGGAAGUUGUUCCAUCACUACAUAGAAACAAGAACGAGUUCAAAACUAUUGAAGAUGAACAGGGGACUAAUUUACUAGCUAGGCGUUUGCACCAAAGUUUGCAGAAUGUUU